UAAACUUAACGCUUUAUCGGGGGAAAGGGAAACGGGGAAAUUAGAAUGGAAUUGCCGUAUUAGAUAGUGUUUUGUUAAACAAUUCGAUAAUUCAAAGGAACUUGGUUUUUCGAACGUGAAGACCCAGUAGGCGUACUCAAUAAAACAGUUACCAAAAACCAGCAAUUUCAGAAGGGCGGAACACUGUGCUGCCUCACACUGGUUAGAUCCGCGGAGGAGAGCGACAGAGCCAGGGAGGAAUGGACGGUGGCGGCGACGUCGGCGUUGGCCGGAGCCGAGGGGAAGCGGCGGGUGGCGGCUGCUCGCCUCCGCCUUCGCCUUCGCCUUCAACUCUCAGGUAAG